UCCAGUUAUACUGAAAAAAUCCUCAAAAGGAUUUGGAAGGUGGAAUAUUUUGAGGGGAGAGGCAGUUAGCAUUUGUGCUUUUCUUAAUGAGGUUUUCACAGGCCACUAGUCAGACACUGAACAGCAUAUUGGCAUAGCUGUCUAGUUUGAAACUACCAAUCCUAGUGGCUUCUCUCUAGUUAAAUUCAGCAGUACACCUAGAGUACUACUACAUACUGUACUACUUUAUGAAUAGAAUCAAGGGAGCUGGGCAGGGUAGAAGUAAGGACUCCAAAAAACUUGUGCAUACUGAUACCCUCAAAUAAUUUCAGAGCUUGUUUGCAAGGUACAUUCCGAAAGGCCGUUUCCUUCAUCUUGAGUGUGACUUGGUUCAAUGUCAUUGGGGCAGGUGUCCCUGGAAUUUGAACAUUGACCUCCCCUGGUUCAUAGCUAAGACCACUAUACUAUGUUCGUUGUACAACUACGGCAGCAAUAAGUUUUGCUUUAUGGUAAAUUUAUUAAAAGACAAAAACAUUAAAAGCUAUUUCUUGAGUAUGGGGUUGGAAAUGAGAUCAUAGAUCUGUAAGAGACCAUAAAGGUCAUCAAGUCCAACCCCUAGCAACAAUCAAAACCUGACAGAUGCUAUUCAGCCUCUGUUUAAAAGAAUCCACAGAAGGGGACCACUCAUACAGCACAUUGCACUGUCAGCUUCUCACACAUAGGGGAUUUCCUCUGCCUGCGCAGUCAGUUUUGGGAUAUUAUAUAAAGAAGAAAAGAAACCAUAUUCAUAGAAAACAAAUGGAAUGUACAAGUGGAGAGUUGGAUUUAAUACUCCAGUUCUGGGAAGAUGUAGCAGCAGUAACUGUGAGAAUGAACUGUUCCAACCAAAGCUCUCCCUGUAGUUUUUUCACUGGGAUUUUUGUCAGGGGUGUAAGAUGAGUUGGCACAUUUCUCCCUGCCCUGAGGAUGCCAAGCUGCAUCAAUAUGAGUAUAGUGCCUAGAUCGCAAGAAGUCAUAGUCCCCCCCCCCUUCUGCUUUGGUCAGACCUCACCUAGAAAACUCCAGUUCUCGCUACGAUUCAAGGAUACUGACAUGCUACAACAUGUCCCCAGAAAGCAACCAAAAUGAUAAAAGCCAAGCCCUGAGGGAGCUGGGUGUUUAGCCUGGAGAAAAUAAGGCUAAGAUUGUUAUUUGAAAAGAUGUCACAUUAAGGAGGGGGCAUGUUCUCUACUCUGAGCAAUCAUGGAUAUGGAGCUGUUCCCUUGCCCUAGUACGCUUAAGAUUAGUACAAAAUACUGAAUUUUGGAGCUGAACAAAAAGUGGAAAUAACUUUGGAUGUUAGCAAUGAUGUCAUAAUGCAGCAUGUAUCACAAUGUCUUGUCACCAUAGUCACAACUAUGGAACAGAUUGCUGUAUCUUGUUUAAAAAGAGCUGGCAUUUGAGAGCAAGAGACUUAAAAUGUCUGCAAGGUAAUACUGUUGUAAAACCUCUGCUUUAGAUAUGCAGCACCCUAGUAUGCUAAAGACUUCAACUCUGAUGGAUUUUGCUGCCGGUCCAGACUGGAUGGAGGGACUAAGACACAGAUUCAUGCAGAAUUGUACAGUGGAGCCUGGGACUCAGCCACCUUCCGAAACCAACUUUAAGGACACAUUCCACAUUCCUGCUGAUGGUCUUCCAGGGAAAAAAGGUCAAAUGGCUUCACAAAUAGCAGAUGACCGUCAGAAUGAGAGGAACUGUGUCAAGGGUGCCUUCGGCGUCUCCACCACCACAGGAUCCAGGAAACUCAAGAGGAGAAGCACUGCUUUCCAUCACAAGCCUUCAGAUUCUGGUGUUAGUUUUUGGGAAGAGGUGUCCAUUCAUUCCACUUGUAACGCGAAUGCUCCCAGUGACAGAUGGCAUCAAAGAGCUCGCUCUUCAGUCACAAACCUUAAAGAAGAAUUAGAAGAUGGAGAGGAAGGAAUCUUUGAAAGACCAGGAACAGAGGUGUCUCCAUCAAAAGGAGGAAGGCAUUAUGAUAUCGACAUGGAAACAACCGGUGACAUCCAGACGGCAAAUGAAAGUCUCCGCCAAGAUGGCGCAACCAACCUGCCACAAAGGCUUUCAGGGCCCUCGGAGCUUCCUAGAGGCUUGGGUUACUUUGCAGAGGCUCUGACGCUGGUGCCCAACCACUCCUUGAUGGAUGUUGAGCCUUCACAAUGUUUAGGGUCGCCACCAAACACACGCUCGGCCCUCUUGUCAAAGCCUCUUCCUGCAGAGCCCAAUGGAGACGUCGUCAUGCGUGAGGAAAGGAAGAUCAAGAAGUCGAAGGAGAUCCCAAUUUUAGACCGGGUUGGGGAAACCUUGCGGCAAAAGAAAUUACGUGCAACUCAGGCGUGAGCAAUCCUGAAACGGAUCACCCAUCUUCUUUGGAUUCUUUUCUACUUUCUGAUGGGACCUUGUGAACCUUUUACAAGAUCGAGAAAAAAAUCAGCGGAUACUGAACAAUUCGCUCGCAAAUAUAUGCAAAAGUGCACAGUUGAAUCCAGCACUGAAUCUGAAUCAGAUG